rnacentral:rRNA from 1 species
GUCCACGCCGUAAACGAUGUCAACUUGGAGUCUGUGCCAUUGAGCGUGGGCUCCGAAGCUAACGCGAUAAGUUGACCGCCUGGGAGUACGGCCGCAAGGUUAAACUCAAAUGAAUUGACGGGGCCCGCACAAGCGGUGGAGCAUGUGGUUUAAUUCGAUGCAACGCGAAGAACCUUACCUGGCCUUGACAUGUCUGGAACCUUGUAGAGAUACGAGGGUGCCUUCGGGAAUCAGAACACAGGUGCUGCAUGGCUGUCGU